rnacentral:rRNA from 1 species
AUUGAACGCUGGCGGCAUGCCUUACACAUGCAAGUCGAACGGCAGCACGGGAGCAAUCCUGGUGGCGAGUGGCGAACGGGUGAGUAAUAUAUCGGAACGUGCCCAGUAGUGGGGGAUAGCCCGGCGAAAGCCGGAUUAAUACCGCAUACGACCUGAGGGUGAAAGCGGGGGAUCGCAAGACCUCGCGCUAUUGGAGCGGCCGAUAUCAGAUUAGCUAGUUGGUGGGGUAAAGGCCUACCAAGGCUACGAUCUGUAGUUGGUCUGAGAGGACGACCAGCCACACCGGGACUGAGACACGGCCCAGACUCCUACGGGAGGCAGCAGUGGGGAAUUUUGGACAAUGGGCGCAAGCCUGAUCCAGCAAUGCCGCGUGCAGGAAGAAGGCCUCGGUUGUAACGUAGCUUUGUUC